rnacentral:rRNA from 1 species
AGCGAACGCUGGCGGCAGGCUUAACACAUGCAAGUCGAGCGCCCCGCAAGGGGAGCGGCAGACGGGUGAGUAACACGUGGGAACGUGCCUUUUGGUUCGGAACAACCCAGGGAAACUUGGGCUAAUACCGGAUAAGCCCUUACGGGGAAAGAUUUAUCGCCAAAAGAUCGGCCCGCGUCUGAUUAGCUAGUUGGUGGGGUAAUGGCCCACCAAGGCUACGAUCAGUAGCUGGUCUGAGAGGAUGAUCAGCCACAUUGGGACUGAGACACGGCCCAAACUCCGACGGGAGGCCGCAGUGGGGAAUAUUGGACACUGGGGGCAACCCUAAUCCAGCCAUGCCGGGUGAGUGAUGAAGGCCUUAGGGUUGUAAAGCUCUUUUAGCAGGGAAGAUAAUGACGGUACCUGCAGAAAAAGCCCCGGCUAACUUCGUGCCAGCCGCCGCAGUAA